UGCCAGGUCUGUAGCACUCCAGAUAUUUCC
rnacentral:piRNA from 1 species